AUUUACGACGUUACGGAGUAACGGGUCUCGUAAGAAUUACGGACCACUUAAAUACAAGAUUAGGCUUGUGGCCUUGGGCCCAAGCCCAAAAGCCCACUAAUCAAACCCUACCUAUUUAAAAGUUGAAAACCCUACCUCUUCACUUAGAGAUCAGCCGUAUACUGUGUUCCCCUUGUUUCCUUUUGUCCACAACUCAAAGACAACACACACACAAAAGAAAUCCGCAGACCAAGCAAACACAAACAAACAUCAUCACCUCCAACUCUCGCUCGUCUGAAUAUCGCCGGCUCCGGCAACCGGAGCCACUUCCGGCGACAAACACCACAACCCUCCUCCUUCACUAUAACACUUCCAUAACCGGUAUCACCUCUGUAAUCCAUCAUCGGAGAUCGGAGAACAAACAGGAGAAAACCCCUGAGUCGCCAAACUCACCGGAGCCUUACCGGAGUCCGAGGGAUCAACCGAAGACCUACGGACAUCGCGACGGGGAGCAUUCCAUCUCGUUCGACCACAUAAUCGCUCGCUGGAAGAACUCGAAGUGUUUUCCGGAGUAAUCGAGACGCCGUCGGAGUAACCAAGUUUGUCAGAGAUCACGACGAAAACCGUUUCGGCAUCGUUUAUCGGAUAACCUCUCUCGUUCGUUCCCUUGGAUUCUCACUCUUUACUUGUACGUUACAAGAAAUCGCAACGCAACCAAGGAUUGUGACAGAUGAAUCCAGUAGGAUUGCCUAGAAACGCAUUUAAACUUUGUUGCUCGUUGUAUUGUAAUCUACUUUCAAUCCUGUUGUAUUCUGGUUCCAAUACAUGUAAUAAUUCAUUAUUAAUGAAAUGAAUUAUAAUUACUUGAAUACUUAUUGUGCAUUAUUUA